rnacentral:rRNA from 1 species
UGGGGAAUUUUGGACAAUGGGGGAAACCCUGAUCCAGCCAUCCCGCGUGUGCGAUGAAGGCCUUCGGGUUGUAAAGCACUUUUGGCAGGAAAGAAACGUCGCGGGUUAAUACCCCGCGAAACUGACGGUACCUGCAGAAUAAGCACCGGCUAACUACGUGCCAGCAGCCGCGGUAAUACGUAGGGUGCAAGCGUUAAUCGGAAUUACUGGGCGUAAAGCGUGCGCAGGCGGUUCGGAAAGAAAGAUGUGAAAUCCCAGAGCUUAACUUUGGAACUGCAUUUUUAACUACCGGGCUAGAGUGUGUCAGAGGGAGGUGGAAUUCCGCGUGUAGCAGUGAAAUGCGUAGAUAUGCGGAGGAACACCGAUGGCGAAGGCAGCCUCCUGGGAUAACACUGACGCUCAUGCACGAAAGCGUGGGGAGCAAACAGGAUUAGAUACCCUGGUAGUCCACGCCCUAAACGAUGUCAACUAGCUGUUGGGGCCUUCGGGCCUUGGUAGCGCAGCUAACGCGUGAAGUUGACCGCCUGGGG